GCGCCCGUAGCUCAGCUGGAUAGAGCAACGGCCUUCUAAGCCGUGGGCCAGAGGUUCAAAUCCUCUCGGGCGCA
rnacentral:tRNA from 1 species